AUUGAACGCUGGCGGCAGGCCUAACACAUGCAAGUCGAGCGGAUGAGGAAAGCUUGCUUUUCGAUUCAGCGGCGGACGGGUGAGUAAUGCCUAGGAAUCUGCCUGUUAGUGGGGGAUAACUCGGGGAAACUCGGGCUAAUACCGCAUACGUCCUACGGGAGAAAGUGGGGGAUCUUCGGACCUCACGCUAACAGAUGAGCCUAGGUCGGAUUAGCUAGUAGGUGAGGUAAUGGCUCACCUAGGCGACGAUCCGUAACUGGUCUGAGAGGAUGAGCAGUCACACUGGAACUGAGACACGGUCCAGACUCCUACGGGAGGCAGCAGUGGGGAAUAUUGGACAAUGGGCGAAAGCCUGAUCCAGCCAUGCCGGGUGUGUGAAGAAGGUCUUCGGAUUGUAAAGCACUUUAAGUUGGGAGGAAGGGUAUUCACCUAAUACGUGGGUACUUUGACGUUACCAACAGAAUAAGCACCGGCUAACUCUGUGCCAGCCGCCGCCGUAAGAC
rnacentral:rRNA from 1 species